UUCCUCUGGCCCUUCUUUGGUCUUUCAGCAAGCCAUGCAAGCCCACCGAGCAGCAACAUCAUUUGCUAAGCGUGCCUCACUUUCAAUCCACCCUCAACAACCCACGCACAUCGAGUAAAGCAGCCGUCUUAAUAUUUUUGUGACGUUCCUCUGGCCCUUCUUUGGUCUUUCAGCAAGCCAUGCAAGCCCACCGAGCAGCAACAUCAUUUGCUAAGCGUGCCUCACUUUCAAUCCACCCUCAACAACCCACGCACAUCGAGUAAAGCAGCCGUCUUAAUAUUUUUGUGACGUUCCUCUGGCCCUUCUUUGGUCUUUCAGCAAGCCAUGCAAGCCCACUGAGCAGCAACAUCAUUUGCUAAGCGUGCCUCACUUUCAAUCCACCCUCAACAACCCACGCACAUCGAGUAAAGCAGCCGGCUUAAUAUUUUUGUAAGUAAAUUUUAUAUUUAUUUUCUAUUUAAUUUCUA